CCUACGGGCGGCAGCAGUAGGGAAUAUUGCUCAAUGGGGGAAACCCUGAAGCAGCAACGCCGCGUGGAGGAUGAAGGUUUUCGGAUUGUAAACUCCUUUUGUUAGAGAAGAUAAUGACGGUAUCUAACGAAUAAGCACCGGCUAACUCCGUGCCAGCAGCCGCGGUAAUACGGAGGGUGCAAGCGUUAUUCGGAAUCACUGGGCGUAAAGAGCGCGUAGGCGGGAUAGCAAGUCAGAUGUGAAAGCCUAGGGCUUAACCAUAGAACUGCAUUUGAAACUGUUAUUCUAGAGUAUGGGAGAGGUAGGUGGAAUUCUUGGUGUAGGGGUAAAAUCCGUAGAGAUCAAGAGGAAUACUCAUUGCGAAGGCGACCUGCUAGAACAUAACUGACGCUGAUGCGCGAAAGCGUGGGGAGCAAACAGGAUUAGAUACCCUUGUAGUC
rnacentral:rRNA from 1 species